CCUGCUUUACAUGCCACACUAAACAUCCGGCUGACACUAUUUUGUCGGUGUUACAGAUGCUGAAAGAGAAGUAGGCCUAUAAAACGUUUGAUUGAGAGGUCCUACAUUUAUUGGAUAAUGGAUGCCCAUUCUCAGGAAGUAUAUCUGAAGAAACGACUUCAGGGCUUUCUGGGAGAGAUGCUUAAAAUGGGUACUUUGAAAGGCUUCAAACACUUCGCAACAUACAUGAGAGGAAGGGAAGAGAUGGUGAUCAGUAUUGUGAACGAACCACAGACCACUCAUCACACAUAUGUGUCAGAGUCUAGUGGAACAGGGUUUAGCUCUCCAGACAGAAGUGGCAGUCUCACUUCACAAAACCUUCCUUAUGAUAAACGUUCUCUGUUAAUCUCAAUGAGAUCACAGAUGAAUUUGAGUACAGCUCCUACAGGUAUUGGUCUACCCCCAGCUUCACCUAGUGAUCAGGAAAUACAGAUUGGGGGAGAUAACUCCACCCUCUUCCUGGUGGCAGGUUAUGCCCGAUACUGCUGUCCCUAUGUUUGGGUAAGAUCUAACCAUGAACGACUCAUCAAACUGACUGGGGACUCUGCUAAUGAUAAGGACUGUCCACUCAAGCUCAAGACCACAAAUACAUGGAAAGACUCGGAUUUUAAUGUAUGGGAUAUAGUGGCAGAACUAGUGAAGCUGUGUUGUUACCCUGCCCCCACCAACCCUUAUGAGAUUGACUUUGACUACUUUGACAGCUUAACCCUCCCUGAGCAGGUGUUGGCUACAGCAGCAAUGUGUCACUUUCUACAGAAGGUCUUUGUCCAUGUACCGGACGAUAAAGCUUAUAUCAGUAAAGUUUUUGAAGAAAUUCAGCUCCUUACAAAGUUGCACUUUAGUGCUCUACAGAAGCUUGCCAAAUCAGGAGGAAUACCUAUAUUGAAUCAGCACCUACAGGCCUCCAGUCGUCGACAGCACAGAACUAGUGGAUCAUCAGUGUCUUCUCGGCAGCGGUACCCUAGUGAUGGGUCCAAGUAUUGGGGCGGGCAGCAGGCGCAGGCACCGGCCCGGGGGUAUACCUACAGUCAGUACUAAAGAGGUGGUACAACUAAAGUCGGCACUAAAGGAUGGACACCUAUCUGACUUGGGAAGGUGACCGGGGAUUAAUGGAUGGACACCUAUCGGACUUGGGAAGGUGACCGGGGAUUAAUGGAUGGACACCAAUCUGACUUGGGAAGGUGACCGGGGAUUAAUGGAUGGACACCAAUCUGACUUGGGAAGGUGACCGGGGAUUAAUGGAUGGACACCAAUCUGACUUGGGAAGGUGACCGGGGAUUAAUGGAUGGACACCAAUCUGACUUGGGAAAGUGACCGGGGAUUAAUGGAUGGACACCAAUCAGACUUAGGAAGGUGACCGGGGAUUAAUGGAUGGACACCUAUCUGACUUGGGAAGGUGACCGGGGAUUAAUGGAUGGACACCAAUCUGACUUGGGAAGGUGACCGGGGAUUAAUGGAUGGACACCAAUCUAACUUGGGAAGGUGACCGGGGAUUAAUGGAUGGACACCUAUCUGACUUGGGAAGGUGACCGGGGAUUAAUGGAUGGACACCUAUCUGACUUGGGAAGGUGACCGGGAAUUAAUGGAUGGACACCAAUCCACGUGAUUACAGUCUGUAUUAAUGGAUGGACAACAUGAAUUGCAGUAGACAUAGGUGGACUUAUCACCUGACAUGGGCUUUACUGUGGAUUUGCUCAAUAGAGAAUGAGGAUUAUUCUAGGUCAUAGGUCUAUAAGUAUAUGUUUCAGGUUUGAUCAGAAAGAAACCAACAUUUCUAAUAUUCAGAGUCCCAGGACAAUAAAAUCUGGUAAUGGUAGUAUGUAGAUUAGUCCACAAUGCAUUGUACUUUAUUGGUGGGAAUAGGUUAACAAAAUAGUAGGGCGUGUGAUAGACCUCAAAGUAGUAAAACUAAUACAAUCUAACAUGGGUCUGUUCUGUGGACAGGGAUAUCUCUACCCGAGUGUAAGAGUUUGCCAGCUGUCAGUACAAGGCUUGCCGAGUACUGGCCAGCCAAACUCUUACACGAGGGUUGAGAUAUCCUUGUUCGCGUAACAGAUCCAUGUUUGAUUAUUUUUCUCACAUACUUGCAAGCAAAUGUAAUGUUUUUAUGAAAGUUUAUCAUCGCUCCAUCUACAAUGCUUCUUGGAAUGUGCAUCAAAAUUGAUGACAUCAUCAUUUGUGACAUAGUUACUCAACAUAAAAUGAUGACGUUACGUUAUAGUAAGCAGCGUCAUAUAGUGUGUGUCAGCUGUCUUUACCCCACUGUAUGAGAUUGAUUUAUCUUUUCCCUAGCAGCUGCGGGAUAACCCUACGAGUAUGUGAAAAAAACAGGGUAUGUCGGAGGUAUGAUAUACAGUGAUUGUAGUUGUGUUUUGUGUAUAGUCUGAUGUCCAAUUUUUCACAUUUUGUGAAGAUGUAAGAUGUAGACAAGUGAGUUAGAUGAAUCUGUUGAAAUUAAGUGACUUGUAUCUGGGGUAUACAUGUAGGUAUGUAUGAUAUACAUGUACUGCUUUGCAGUUUGCAUAUGUUGUAUACAGAUACAAGUACAUUAUAUAUGAUUUAACCAGUGGUAAAAUGUGUGUAAUUGUUAA